UGUGGCAUAGAAGCAAAGCAAUUAUGAGUUUAGCAUUAAAGAGAGAAAGAGCUAUGAGUUCCUAUAAUAAACAGAGGUUCUAAGGAAAGGGGAAGGGAUUCUAAGAAGAUUUGUUGAAGAGAGAGAGGUAUGGGGGUAUAUUGGGUGUGUUGAGUAGUUUUUGGUAGCUCAACGAAAACUCUGUCAAGCUUUGGAACAAUUUACCAAAAGGAAAAAUGGGGAGAGAUGGAAGGAUAUGGCUCGAAAUUGCAAAGGUUUCAAAGGUGAGAGAUAAAGUUUGAUCUCUAGAUAUGGGUUGUUGGUUGUUGGGUAGGAGGUGCCUUAUUUAUAGCCGCU
rnacentral:lncRNA from 1 species